GCCCGGGUGGCCGAGUGGUUUAGGCGGCGGCCUGCAGAGCCGCUAAACGGGGGUUCAAAUCCCUCCCCGGGCU
rnacentral:tRNA from 1 species